rnacentral:Y_RNA from 1 species
GGCUGGUCCGAUGGCAGUGGGUUAUCAGAACUUAUUAACAUUAGUGUCACUAAAGUUGGUAUACCACCCCCCCCCCCUGCUAAAUUUGACUGGCUUUAA